rnacentral:tRNA from 1 species
AGUUAAUUAAUCUAAAAUAAGAUUAUUAUUUUGAAAAUAAUAUAUAGAAAUUAAAAUUUCUAUUAACUU